rnacentral:misc_RNA from 1 species
GAUAGUGACAUAACAAGUUUGGAUGUCCUAUCUAAGCUCGAGAAACUCAAGGUUCUAUCCAUUGAUUUUGGCACUGAAAAGUUAGACGGAAAAAGUAUGCAAGAGACGCUAGAUCAGCUUCCACCUCCACAAGGACUUGAGGAGCUGUAUCUCAGGCGUUACCGUCAUGAUACUUUGCCGAAAUGGGUUAAUCCUCAGUUUCUUCGCAAAUUGGUAUAUCUUUGUAUUGAGGAUGGAGAUCUGUUUGAUAUCUGCGCAGGUGAAACCACUUGGAACCUUGAGGGUUUGCGUUUGAAUCUGUUGCCAUACUUGAAGAAGGACUGGAA